rnacentral:rRNA from 1 species
UGAGGAAUAUUGGUCAAUGGGCGAGAGCCUGAACCAGCCAAGUAGCGUGCAGGAUGACGGCCCUAUGGGUUGUAAACUGCUUUUAUAUGGGAAUAAAGUGAGGGACGUGUCCCUUAUUGCAUGUACCAAACGAAUAAGGACCGGCUAAUUCCGUGCCAGCAGCCGCGGUAAUACGGAAGGUCCAGGCGUUAUCCGGAUUUAUUGGGUUUAAAGGGAGCGUAGGCUGUUUGUUAAGCGUGUUGUGAAAUGUAGGAGCUCAACUUUUAGAUUGCAGCGCGAACUGGCAGACUUGAGUGCGCACAACGUAGGCGGAAUUCAUGGUGUAGCGGUGAAAUGCUUAGAUAUCAUGACGAACUCCGAUUGCGAAGGCAGCUUACGGGAGCGCAACUGACGCUAAAGCUCGAAGGUGCGGGUAUCGAACAGG